rnacentral:rRNA from 1 species
GAGCGCCGGACGGGUGAGUAACGCGUGGGUAACUUGCCUCAUACAGGGGGAUAACAGUUUAGAAAUGGCUGUUAAUACCGCAUAAGCGCACAGCAUCGCAUGAUGCCGUGUGAAAAACUCCGGUGGUAUGAGAUGGACCCGCGUCUGAUUAGGUAGUUGGCGGGGUAACGGCCCACCAAGCCGACGAUCAGUAGCCGACCUGAGAGGGUGACCGGCCACAUUGGGACUGAGACACGGCCCAAACUCCUACGGGAGGCAGCAGUGGGGAAUAUUGCACAAUGGGCGAAAGCCUGAUGCAGCGACGCCGCGUGAGCGAAGAAGUAUCUCGGUAUGUAAAGCUCUAUCAGCAGGGAAGAAAAUGACGGUACCUGACUAAGAAGCCCCGGCUAACUACGUGCCAGCAGCCGCGGUAAUACGUAGGGGGCAAGCGUUAUCCGGAUUUACUGGGUGUAAAGGGAGCGUAGACGGAGAUUCAAGUCAGGAGUGAAAUCUAUGGGCUUAACCCAUAAACUGCUUUUGAAACUGAAUCCCUUGAGUAUCGGAGAGGCAGGCGGAAUUCCUAGUGUAGCGGUGAAAUGCGUAGAUAUUAGGAGGAACACCAGUGGCGAAGGCGGCCUGCUGGACGACAACUGACGCUGAGGCGCGAAAGCGUGGGGAGCAAACAGGAUUA